UACGUAGGGUGCGAGCGUUGUCCGGAAUUAUUGGGCGUAAAGGGCUCGUAGGCGGUCUGUUGCGUCGGGAGUGAAAGCUCAGGGCUUAACCCUGAGCCUGCUUCCGAUACGGGCAGACUAGAGGUAUGCAGGGGAGAACGGAAUUCCUGGUGUAGCGGUGAAAUGCGCAGAUAUCAGGAGGAACACCGGUGGCGAAGGCGGUUCUCUGGGCAUUACCUGACGCUGAGGAGCGAAAGUGUGGGGAGCGAACAGG
rnacentral:rRNA from 1 species